UACGGAGGGGACUAGCGUUGUUCGGAAUUACUGGGCGUAAAGCGCACGUAGGCGGAUUUGUAAGUCAGGGGUGAAAUCCCGGGGCUCAACCUCGGAACUGCCUUUGAUACUGCAAAUCUCGAGUCCGGAAGAGGUGAGUGGAACUGCGAGUGUAGAGGUGAAAUGCGUAGAUAUUGGGAGGAACACCAAUGGCGAAGGCAGCUCGCUGGGACGUGACUGACGCUGAGACGCGAAAGCGUGGGGAGCAAACAGG
rnacentral:rRNA from 1 species